GUCUUUUUCGAGAUAGGAUCUUCCUGUAGCCCCAGCUGGACUGGAACUCACUAUGUAAACCAGGCUGGCCUUGAAGUCACAGAGAUCUGCCUGCCUCUGCCUCCCUUAUGCUGGGAUUAAAGGCAUGCGCCACCACACCCAGCAUGCAAGGGUGUUUUAAACUCCUAGUUUGGAGACAAAGGACUGUCUUCUAGUGCUUCUGUAGCUGUGAGAGCUUCUGGCCAUCUUUGAAGGAGAAACACAGUCUUGUCUGGACCUUCUUCUACCCUUUCUUCUUAUAGGGAACCAUCCCCAUCCUCCUCAAGCUUGACCCUGAUGUCAAGACCUGACCAGGUGUCACAGGUGUCUGGUGAGCAGCUGAGAGGCAGUGAUUCCAAUCCCCCUGGAGCACCCUCUCUUGGAAACCCCAGCCCCCAGCAGGCAGCCCCUGUGCUCUUGCCACGCCGCCGUAACAACCUGGACAGCAGCUGGAUCCCCAAGAGAGUGACUAUAACCCGCCCUUUAGCUGGACUCCAGAAAGCCCAGUCUGUGCACAGUUUAGUGCCACAAAAUGAGGUGCCUUCAUCAGGUUCACUGCUCUCCCGGGAGAUGGAGGUCCAGGGUAGCCUGGGCUCCUUGCCACGGGCUGAUGGUUACCCAUCUCAGCCCCAUUCCUACCAGAACCCCAACACCAGUUCUAUGGCCAAGCUAGCCCGCAGCAUCUCUGUUGGGGAGAACCCGGGCCUGGUGGCUGAACCUGCUGUGCCCAUCCGAAUCUCACCAGUCAGCAAGCUAGCUCUGCCCAGCCGUGCUCACCUUGUUCUGGACAUCCCCAAACCACUGCCUGAUCGUCCUACUCUGACCACUUUCUCCCCUAUAACCAAGGGCCGGGUCCCAAAUGAAGCAGAGCAGCCUGGCUCCCCAAUGGGUCUACAAAAAGCUCAUACUACAUUUGAGAGGCAGGCCUGUUUGGGGGAGGGUUCCACUCCUAAGCGUAGGACAGAGUGCCAAGCUCAUUCUGGGCCCAACAGCCCUUGUGCCCAGCAACUGCCAGUCAGCAGCCUCCUCCAAGGCCCUGAGAACUUUCAGCCCCCAUCCCCCAAGAAGACUCCCAACCCCAUGGAAUGCACCAGGCCAGGGGCAGCCCUGAGCCAGGACUCAGGUGUGCACAGCUCCCCAGUCUCAUCUCUUUCCCCUAUCCUUUCUUUCCUGUAUUUGUUAACCGCUUUCUGGCUCCAUCCCAUUUCUAUGCAUCCAGCCUUUGCUGUCCUGUCUGCUCCUGUCUCGAUCCAUAAGUCACACUCCUAAUGUUGAGACAUUCCUGCCAACCCUCAUGAUCUCCCUGUGACUCACUUAACCCUUCAGUGCAUUCUGGACACUGAGACCAGGGCUGCCUUUCUCCUCUAAAUCUUGUCUGUGUGGUAUUGAGAAU
rnacentral:lncRNA from 1 species